CGCGUAGGCGGUUCGGACAGUCAGGCGUGAAAUUCCCGGGCUUAACCUGGGGGCUGCGCUUGAUACAUCCGGACUUGAGUGAGGAAGAGGGUCGUGGAAUUCCCAGUGUAGAGGUGAAAUUCGUAGAUAUUGGGAAGAACACCGGUGGCGAAGGCGGCGACCUGGUCCUUGACUGACGCUGAGGCGCGAAAGCGUGGGGAGCAAACAGGAUUAGAUACCCUGGUAGUCCACGCCGUAAACGAUGUGUGCUGGAUGUUGGGUGACCUAGUCACUCAGUGUCGUAGCUAACGCGGUAAGCACACCGCCUGGGGAGUACGGCCGCAAGGUUGAA
rnacentral:rRNA from 1 species